CUUACACUGUUACUAAUAAAACACUCGUAUUCUAAGGUUAUUCCGUAUUUAUAUCUAGAAUAGUUAUCCUAAGUAUAAGGUAGAUAUAGUACGAAAAUAAUUCGUUACUAAUAAACUCGGUAUAAGUUA
rnacentral:lncRNA from 1 species